UGUUCACACUUUAGAUCUGAUUAUUUCCAUUAUUAUGCAGAAUCUCUCAUCUCUGCUCAUGGUCAAAGCCUUUCUCUUAUGUAUUGCGGCGGCUUCUAAUUCGCUUGGUGCAGGUCGGGAACUUUCUCCGCCGCCGCUAGAUGCGGCAAUCCUUGCUUUUAACUCCGGUGGAUAAAUCAAGUUCCCGUCUUGCAUCAACUGAAUCGGAGACCGAAGUGAAUGCCAUAUAUGACUACGGAUUGGAUUGGAUUGGAUUGGAUUGAUUGAUUUUUCACGGAUCCAUUCUUUAAUUCGUCUAUCUACGGCAGAUUUGCAUUUCUGGUUUAAAGGGAAAGAGGUGUUUUUUCGUUCUUUGCUUUGCUUGCUGCAAUCCCGGCGAAAUCAGAGUUUAUAAAGGUAUCUUUGGUGAGGUAAUUCCAUGAUUAUUGUUUGUUUCAAUGUUCAUAUUCUCACUGGGAAAAUGGUGAGUGUUAUUUUGCACAUAUCUUCUUUGAUCAAUGGUUUUCACAACUGUCUUCUGUUGACAUUUAAUGCUUAGUAAUGGUGAGUGUUCUUAUCCCUUGGUUUCUCACUGCACUUGUGUUUUUAGACUAUAUUUUGCUGUUAGCAUUGCUGCAAUAGUUGUUGGAUUAGUCAAUAUGUUUUUGUGUUUGCUAGUUCAGUUAAGUUUUACUAGUGAAUCAGUUCCAUUGCUUAAGAGGAUAACCCUGUUGCAAGUUUUACACUUUCUUUAAGAAAUGUGCAUUAUUUUUCUGUGAUUAAAGGCCAUUUUCUUUUCCCUUCUCAGCAGCUCAUACAAGGUGUAUAUGUAGCCAAUUGAGAAAGGUUGCAUAAUUUGUCACUCAGUUAACACAUUUUUGUUUCAUUCUUGUGUGAAUAAUGUGGCCCCUUGUGUAUAUGUAGCCAAUUGAGAAAGGUUGCAUAAUUUGUCACUCAGCUAACACAAUUUUGUUUCACUCUGUGAAUAAUGUGGCCCCUUGUGUUGGUUACUCACAUGGCAUAUGCUUUCAUCUGAUAUUGAGCAUUAAACACAGCUGCUAUCUAAAUGAGAGUUUCAUGCCAUCUUUUAGUGGUAAUUGUACAUUUGGUUUUUUGCUAGUACUUGCUUGUGUUGUUAUUUUCCUUGGAUCCUUUCUACCAUCUCCCAUUAUGUGUUUUAUGUUUUUUUUAAUGGAAUGGAAAUUCAAUGUGGUGGAUUAUUUGUAUGUAAAUACGUGAAUGUUUGACAUUUUUAAUUUUCUUUUUCCUGAAUACAUGAAUUUUGCGAUUUUCUGAUUUUUCCUCAACAAACAAUUUUGAUCAGAUGAUUAGAGUUGUUUUGUGGAUUGCUCUAGUUUAGCUUUGUUAUCAAUUUUAUUCUAUCAACUUUUUAAAGACAAACUCAUUUGCUAAUUACCUCUUGAAUGAAUUACAAACUUUAUGAGUUAUUGUGCAUUAUUUGUGAUUUUUAUCUUUCAAAUUUCAUAUGGUUUUGUAUUUUUAUGAUUCAUUGUAGCAGAAUUACAAUUUGUGGACACGGCUAUCUCACAUGAUUUGAUUUGAACACGGCUCAAACUGAAAAUUCAUCUUGCUAUUGAAGAUACAUGUGAUGUGUUAUAAUUAUAUACCAUCGGAGAAAGCAAGAAAAACUCAAAGUUCGAGAAAAAAUUAGAAAAUCUCAAAAUGUCGUGUAAUUAUUGACAUAUUACCUUGUUCUAUUUAAAACGGUGUCGUUUUAACUUAUUGUCCAACAAUGUCAAUGAACACCAUAGAUUCAAUUACGGAAAAACAAAAAUUCAUGUAUUUAGUUUUAAAAAUCGGAUAAAAACGAGACAAAUAUCAAAAGUCUGUGGCUUUACAGAAAAAUCCGCUUCAACAUGCGAAUGUGAUGAAGUCUUUAGUAAAAAUCAUUGGGUAUUGAGUUUCCGGUUGCACGCCAACUGAUUGAAGAAAUGACUAAGUGGUUCUGCCAUCCCUUCAGUCAAGCUGCGAGAGUUGGAAGUUUGAAAGCUACUCUAAUCAUCAACUAUGAUCCCACAGGAGAUUCUCGCCUAGUAUCCACCAUUGCAGAACAAGAAGGCAUAAAAGCAGAUCCGAUUGAAAUCAGUCGGUUUAUUGGUUUUGUCAAGAGAAACAAACUUCAGACGGAAACCUUCUUCAUCCGGCCAAGCCAAUAUAAUAAGCUCAACGACACAACCAUUGCAGGAACAAUUCUUUUGCUAAGGAAAUGAUUUCUUAGUUACUGUAUCGUUCAACGGAUCUUGAUUUUCUUGGUCCAUUGCUUUUCUUGAUUUCCCGUUUUCAACAGAUCUUGUCACCUCGACUCACGAGAUCUGGUUCUGCGCCAGGUGCUUGAACUCUUCGAAGCAUGGCGGUGAAGGCGCUAUAGCGCAACCAAAGAUUUUAGUCGUAGAAUAGACAUUUAUGCAAUUUCAGAUUUAGGCAUGCACACGGUUCAAAAAUUGCCGGUUCCGGUUCGGAACCGGCGGUUCACGGUUCAACAUUUUCAUGAACCGUUAGUUCAUGGGGCGGUUCAAAACCGCCGGUUUUUUACCGAAACCGCUGGUUCGG